rnacentral:rRNA from 1 species
GACGAACGCUGGCGGCGUGCUUAACACAUGCAAGUCGAACGGAAAGGCCCUGCUUUUGUGGGUGCUCGAGUGGCGAACGGGUGAGUAACACGUGAGUAACCUGCCCUUGACUUUGGGAUAACUUCAGGAAACUGGGGCUAUACCGGAUAGGAGCUCCUGCUGCAUGGUGGGGGUUGGAAAGUUUCGGCGGUUGGGGAUGGACUCGCGGCUUAUCAGCUUGUUGGUGGGGUAGUGGCUUACCAAGGCUUUGACGGGUAGCCGGCCUGAGAGGGUGACCGGCCACAUUGGGACUGAGAUACGGCCCAGACUCCUACGGGAGGCAGCAGUGGGGAAUAUUGCACAAUGGGCGGAAGCCUGAUGCAGCAACGCCGCGUGCGGGAUGACGGCCUUCGGGUUGUAAACCGCUUUCGCCUGUGACGAAGCGUGAGUGACGGUAAUGGGUAAAGAAGCACCGGCUAACUACGUG